rnacentral:rRNA from 1 species
AUUGAACGCUGGCGGCAGGCCUAACACAUGCAAGUCGAACGAGUGGCGGACGGGUGAGUAAUGUCUGGGAAACUGCCUGAUGGAGGGGGAUAACUACUGGAAACGGUAGCUAAUACCGCAUACCAUCGGAUGUGCCCAGAGGGGAUUAGCUAGUAGGUGUGGUAACGGCUAACCUAGGCGACGAUCCCUAGCUGGUCUGAGAGGAUGACCAGCCAGACUGGAACUGAGACACGGUCCAGACUCCUACGGGAGGAAGCAGUGGGGAAUAGUGCACAAUUGGCGCAAGCCUGAUGCAGCCAUGCCGCGUGUAUGAAGAAGGCCGUAGGGUUGUAAAGUACUUUCAGCUGUGAGGCGUUACCCGCAGAAGAAGCACCGGCUAACUCCGUGCCAGCCGCCGCGGUAAUUC